rnacentral:rRNA from 1 species
UACGAAGGGGGCUAGCGUUGCUCGGAAUCACUGGGCGUAAAGGGUGCGUAGGCGGCUUGGUAAGUCAAAGGUGAAAUCCCUCGGCUCAACUGAGGAAUUGCCUUUGAAACUGCCUGGCUCGAGGCCGGGAGGGGGUAGCGGAAUUCCCAGUGUAGCGGUGAAAUGCGUAGAUAUUGGGAGGAACACCGGUGGCGAAGGCGGCUACCUGGACCGGUUCUGACGCUGAUGCGCGAAAGCGUGGGGAGCAAACAGG